UAUAAGAUAAGCCGUGAACAUAUCACAUUCAAUUUAAUUUAUUGAAUAUUAAAUAUUUUAUUCAACAGAGUUAGGUACUUACUUAUUUGAUACAGUUAUACCAAAAGCAAUAAGACAUUGUCACAAUAUAUAGUUUAUACGUACACUUUUACAGAUGUUGAAAACCAUAUUAACACAUAUUAUAACAAUCGAAAUAUAUCUGAACCUAACCAAAGAACGGCAAGUGGAUUCUGUGCGGAGAUAAAGACACAAGGAGAAUUGUAUGAGUUUCUUAAUAAAAUGUAUAAUAUUAAUAUUUAAAUAUAUUUUUGUUUAAUCAUUUUAAGAUUAAUAUAAAUUAAAUUGUAUAAUUCAAUAUUAUAUCAGUAUAUCACCUUAUAUUAUUAUUACUAAUAUAUUAUAUAAUAUUAUAUUUAU